rnacentral:rRNA from 1 species
CACGUAGAUGGCUUUGUAAGUCGGAUGUGAAAUCCCCGGGCUCAACCUGGGAACUGCAUUCGAAACUGCAUUGCUCGAGUGUGGAAGAGGGAAGCGGAAUCCCAGGUGUAGCGGUGAAAUGCGUAGAUAUCUGGAGGAACAUCAGUGGCGAAGGCGGCUUCCUGGUCCAACACUGACAUUCAGGUGCGAAAGCGUGGGGAGCAAACAGGAUUAGAUACCCUGGUAGUCCACGCCAUAAACGAUGAGAACUAGAUGUCGGGAGGGUUAGCCUUCCGGUGUCGCAGCUAACGCGUUAAGUUCUCCGCCUGGGGAGUACGGCCGCAAGGUUGAA